UACGUAGGGUGCAAGCGUUAAUCGGAAUUACUGGGCGUAAAGCGCGCGUAGGUGGUUUGAUAAGUUGGAUGUGAAAGCCCCGGGCUCAACCUGGGAAUUGCAUCCAAAACUGUCUGACUAGAGUACGGUAGAGGGUAGUGGAAUUUCCUGUGUAGCGGUGAAAUGCGUAGAUAUAGGAAGGAACACCAGUGGCGAAGGCGACUACCUGGACUGAUACUGACACUGAGGUGCGAAAGCGUGGGGAGCAAACAGG
rnacentral:rRNA from 1 species